rnacentral:rRNA from 1 species
AGCGUGGAGACAGGUGGUGCAUGGCUGUCGUCAGCUCGUGUCGUGAGAUGUUGGGUUAAGUCCCGCAACGAGCGCAACCCUCACCCCUAGUUGCCACCGGGUUAAGCCGAGCACUCAAGGGGAACUGCCAGCGUCAAGCUGGAGGAAGGCGGGGAUGACGUCAAGUCAUCAUGCCCCUUACGCCCUGGGCUACACACGUGCUACAAUGGCCAGUACAAAGGGACGCGAGACUGCGAAGUGGAGCUAAUCCCAAAAAGCUAGUCUAAGUUCAGAUUGCAGUCUGCAACUCGACUGCAUGAAGGAGGAAUCGCUAGUAAUCGCGCAUCAGCCCGGCGCGGUGAAUACGUUCCCGGGCCUUGUACACACCGCCCGUCACACCACGAAAGCUGUCUGUACUCGAAGUCGCUGAG